rnacentral:tRNA from 1 species
GAGGAUAUAGCUCAGUGGUGGAGCACGUGCUUAGCAUGCAUGAGGUCCUGGGUUCAAUCCCCAGUGCCUCCC